rnacentral:lncRNA from 1 species
GUCGUUCGGCUUCGCCGCCGGGAAUGGGAGCAGAGGCUUAGUCAUCGGACGGCACGUGCAACGGGGUCGACGGCGUCAGCUUCUGGCAGCAUUGGUGGAUGCUCGGACCACGGUCGAUUGCAGAGGGUUGGGAGAUUAGGGCUCGAUUUAAGUCUCCAUUUGAUGGGGCGGAGGAUUUGAUGGGAGGUAGAGGCGGAUUACGGGGUGGGGCAGACGGAUUCAGAUCGGGGGACGGCCGGACCAGAGGGAGGCUGCCGGAGGUGAGUCGGACCGAGGGAGGCGGCGCAGCGGACUGGGGGCGGAGGAGGUGGUCGAUCGAGAGAGAG